CGAGACGACGCUGGCGGCGUGCUUAACACAUGCAAGUCGAACGAUGAACCGGAGCUUGCUCCGGGGAUUAGUGGCGAACGGGUGAGUAACACGUGGGCAACUUGCCCCAGACAUCGGGAUAACCAUUCGAAAGGAUGGCUAAUACCGGAUAUGACCACUUCGGGCAUCCGAUGGUGGUGGAAAGGAUUCUGGUCUGGGAUGGGCCCGCGGCCUAUCAGCUAGUUGGUGGGGUAAUGGCCUACCAAGGCGACGACGGGUAGCCGGCCUGAGAGGGCGACCGGCCACACUGGGACUGAGACACGGCCCAGACUCCUACGGGAGGCAGCAGUGGGGAAUAUUGCGCAAUGGGCGAAAGCCUGACGCAGCGACGCCGCGUGAGGGACGAAGGUCUUCGGAUUGUAAACCUCUUCAGCAGGGACGAAGCGAAAGUGACUGUACCUGCAGAAGAAGCACCGGCUAACUACGUG
rnacentral:rRNA from 1 species